rnacentral:rRNA from 1 species
ACUCGUAGCCAAUAGCUCAGUAACACGUGGCCAAACUACCCUAUCGAGCACGAUACUCUCGGGAAACUGAGGUUAAUAGUGCAUACGGCUCGCUGCCUGGAGUGGCGCGAGCUAGAAAUGCUCAGGCGCGAUAGGAUGUGGCUGCGGCCGAUUAGGUAGACGGUGGGGUAACGGCCCACCGUGCCAAUAAUCGGUACGGGUUGUGAGAGCAAGAGCCCGGAGACGGUAUCUGAGACAAGAUACCGGGCCCUACGGGGCGCAGCAGGCGCGAAACCUUUACACUGCACGAGAGUGCGAUAAGGGGACUCCAAGUGCGAGGGCAUAUAGUCCUCGCUUUUUCCGACCGUAGGAUGGUCGGCGAAUAAGUGC